CCUACGGGAGGCAGCAGUGGGGAAUAUUGGGCAAUGGGCGCAAGCCUGACCCAGCGAUGCCGCGUGAGGGAAGAAGGUUUUCGGAUUGUAAACCUCUGUUGUCAGGGACGAAGGAUGACGGUACCUGACGAGAAAGCUCCGGCUAACUACGUGCCAGCAGCCGCGGUAAUACGUAGGGAGUAAGCGUUAUCCGGAAUUACUGGGUGUAAAGGGAGUGUAGGCGGGACUUUAAGUCAGAUGUGAAAAUCAGUGGCUCAACCACUGACCUGCAUUUGAAACUGAAGUUCUUGAGUGAAGUAGAGGUAAGCGGAAUUCCUAGUGUAGCGGUGAAAUGCGUAGAUAUUAGGAGGAACAUCAGUGGCGAAGGCGGCUUACUGGGCUUUAACUGACGCUGAGGCUCGAAAGCGUGGGGAGCAAACAGGAUUAGAUACCCUGGUAGUCCACGCCGUAAACGAUGAUUACUAGGUGUGGGGGGACUGACCCCUUCCGUGCCGCAGUUAACACAAUAAGUAAUCCACCUGGGGAGUACGACCGCAAGGUUGAAACUCAAAGGAAUUGACGGGGGCCCGCACAAGCAGUGGAGUAUGUGGUUUAAUUCGAAGCAACGCGAAGAACCUUACCAGGUCUUGACAUCGAGUGACGGGAGUAGAGAUACUCCUUUCCCUUCGGGGACACGAAGACAGGUGGUGCAUGGUUGUCGUCAGCUCGUGUCGUGAGAUGUUGGGUUAAG
rnacentral:rRNA from 1 species